GGGGGGGGGGGGGGGGGGGGGUAGGGGGGGCGGGGCGGGCGGGGGGGGGCGGGUGGUGUGGGGUGGUCGAGGGGGGGGCGGGGGGGUAAGAGGGGAGUAGGCUGCCCUGGACUGGGGGAGACCUUGAGGAGACGGGGGCUACUACCGGAUGGGCCCUCCUGGUGCGUGGUGUGGGUGGGACAGUUUCGGCGGUGGUGGUAAGACUCGCGGCUUAUCAGCUGGUUGGUGGGGUAGUGGCUUACCAAGGCUUUGACGGGUAGCCGGCCUGAGAGGGUGACCGGCCACAUUGGGACUGAGAUACGGCCCAGACUCCUACGGGAGGCAGCAGUGGGGAAUAUUGCACAAUGGGCGGAAGCCUGAUGCAGCAACGCCGCGUGCGGGAUGACGGCCUUCGGGUUGUAAACCGCUUUCGCCUGUGACGAAGCGUGAGUGACGGUAAUGGGUAAAGAAGCACCGGCUAACUACGUG
rnacentral:rRNA from 1 species